rnacentral:tRNA from 1 species
AAAAAAUUAGUUAAGUAAUAUAACAUUAGUAUGUCAAACUAAAAUCAUUAAUAAAUUAAUAUUUUUUA